ACUUUAUAAAGAGGAAAAGAGCUUAGUAAAAGUGUUGUUCUCACCAGCAGGUCCAUGGAGAAGGUGGAACACUGGACUAAAGAGACAGGCUGAGGAAGCCCUCAAGUCACCCCUGAUGGAGGCCAGACCUUGAAUGUUACAAUCCCUCUGCUUAUCGACCCUUAAUAAAAAUCUGAGCAGGUCUUCUCUGCAGGACACAGGAGGCUUUCUGGAAAAAAAAACAUGGAAAAAAAGUCCGGAAGUGCUCGACCAAGAGAUCGCGAGAUGGGAGCAGAGAGUACAGGAAAGGAAGGAGGAGAAAGAAAGGCUGGAAACCUUUGAAUGCACAAAAAAAACAGGUCAUGAAAGAUACCACGAGCCAACUAAAAUCUCUGGCUGAAAAUGUGCUGGACACCAUGCAGUUGGAAGAUUUCACUAGGGACCGCAGUGAUGAGGGGAACUUGGAAGCAGAGCUAAAGAGGAAAGCAGAAAAUGAAGAAACCACCCCCUUAAAAAUUAAGUAAAUUUUUUUAAAGUUAUGUGCAUACAUUCUGUAUAUACAGAAAAGAUAUCUAAAUUGUAUGCACGCAGAAGGAGCAUUGCCCCCACAAGGAACAGUUCAUGCUAAAUGGUGCAGAUGAAGAGACUUUGACAAAGGAAGUUUCCUGAGCUGUGGGCAGGGAUGAGAGCUCAGACAAAUGAUGGGAAGCCUCCCAGAUGCCAAGGUUUCCCACCCCCAGGUUUCAAGGGAGGAGAGAGGAAGUGAUGUCAUCUGAGCCCAGUGAGGCCCUGUCAAGGGACCAGGGAAAACUGCCCCCACUUUUUGCUCCCAUCCUCUCAUUGACUGCAGGUGCACAGGCAGCUGCCUGAAAGAGGGCCUGCGAAGUGCAAGCCAGAGGAGUUGGCCUCCAUGGCACAGAGCAGGCAGAAAACAAAUUUGGAGAAUGACCAGCACUCUUGGGUUUAUUUGACUGAAAGUGCUUGUUUUAUUGCAUUCACUCACAUCCAUUUAUUU
rnacentral:lncRNA from 10 species